UGAGAUGAUUCUUGAGAAUCAUCUUGGCAUGGCAUCUUGGCAUGGCAAGACAAUAUCUUGAGGAUUCUCCAACCCCUUCAAGAGAACUUGCCUCCAGACCAGGGACUCCUGGGUGCAGCAAUGGCCAGCUGACACUACUCUCACAGGGCUCCACGAGGGUGAGAGUGACAUCAGCAUGAUCAUCAGUUCAGAGGCAAGUUCCGAUCAGUGAUUUCUCUCCCCAAAUAAGGGGAGGGCUUGGAGAGUGCCUACAAGCUAUCUGACAAGCUACUGGGGACUGCCUCUUGGGAGCAAGAGGGAGGGCAGGGACAUUUCCAUCUGCUCAGCCCACUUCACACAAGUGUUCAGUUUUGUAAAAACACUGGACUUACUGGAUAAAAUAAAGCUUUGGCCAAGUGGUGUCAUCAACGCCUAGUGAUCGGAAGAGCUGCUGUGGAGAAACUCUUUGCAUGCCAGGAUCAGGCACUGUAUAAUAAAAGUGUGGCGAAGAUGCAACAGAAGAUGACUGUAUUUCAGCAAUGUGGCAGAUACUGGAGGAAUAUACAUUAAUGAAAGAAGACUUUAAGAACUUUCUUUUAAACUUUAGGUUAAACUUUGGAUUGAAGGACUGGCAAAAUGGAAGCUGAGGAUCUGGUGGAAGCAGAGGAGGGAAUGGAAAAAGCAAUGCAACCAGGCAUGGAAGAUCAAGACAGAGGAACCAGUUUAGAGUGAAGGGUUAGUUAUGGAUGGAGGUCUGAUGCUGGAUUGAGAGGAUUUUGGAGAAUCGGAGGUGGUCUGGGAAGAACCAGGGAGAAGGCUGGUGACAUUGGAGAUGGUGCAGAGUGGAAGAGAGAAGAUUUGGGGCUGUGGGGGUUUGAUUUUGCUUAGUUUCUUGGAAGAAGAGAAGAAUGAGGAAAAAAGAAAUUAGAUAAAUAGAAAUACUUUUGAUGGAGGAUUGUUCUCCCCCAGCGGUGUUAUGUAAUGUGAUGGGAGGCUCCCAGUUCAUACAAAUGCAAAGCUUUGGCAAGAAACUAAGGGUUAAGUUCAAAUGAAGAGUAAAGAAAUAAGGAAUGAUCUUCUGGAUUUAUGAGAUCAUAAUAUGGGUUUUCCUGUCUGAUGUUGAUGCUGAUUUAGUGUAAAGGGAAAAGUCAUAAUACAAAGUCUGUUGAUACUAAAAUCAUUUAAAAAUUGUUACUAAGGUCAAAUGAAUAUGAAAUUGGGAUGUGCAGAGAAACAGUCAAGGAAAUUCUUGUGACUACAAUUCCCAUUAAUUUCACUGAGAUUACUUUAAACAGGUUAUAGGACUAAAGAAUUUUUUAUUUACUUAUUUUAUUUAUUAAAAUUUAUAUCCUGCUGUAUACAGAACAAGCAUGGCAUAGUGGUUUGAGCACUGGACUAUGGCUCUGGAGACCAAGAUUCAAAUCCCUGCUCAGCCACUGAAAUAACAAUUCUGUCUUAUAUCCAAAGAUCUUACACCAGCACUCACAUCAGCCUAUUCCUGCCUAUAAAAUACUACCCUUCAAGCUAUUCUCUGUUCCACAUAAGGAAGAAUUUAUGAACUAUAUUCUGUAAGAAUUUAUCUAAGCUUUGCUGAGUGUAUAAGAAGAUUGUUUUUCAAAGUAUGAUUGGAAGCCAAAAUGCUGGUUGCAUGUAAAAGAGAAAAAUAAUAAAAAAUACAUUUCCAUCUCCCCCA